rnacentral:misc_RNA from 1 species
GUUUUCGGCCCGGUUUAAAGAAACCAGGGAGCACCAACUGCUACUUGCAAGGGGAGCCUGGGAAUUCUAAUCAAGUCAAUUUCUAAUUAGUCAGUUUUUGUAAAGAAAUUGUGCGACAAAAGAAAACCAACAAUUUGUGAUUUUUUUGGAAGGGUGGGAAAAGAAUAACAACAGUCUGGCUUCUGUGUCAUGUGUGAGGACUGAG